AUAGUACUCCCUUCGUCCGAAAAAACUUAUCCAAACUUGUUUCUCAAAUGGAUGUAUUUAGCACUAACUAGGUGUUAGAUACAUCCAUUUGAGGGAUAAGUUUUUUCGGACGGAGGGAGUACUAG
rfam:Triticum aestivum genome assembly, contig: Triticum_aestivum_CS42_TGACv1_scaffold_543025_6DS